GCAGCAGAGCUCCACAAAAGUGCGGGAAUGUCUGACAGGGAAGAAUCAGAGAAACCUUCACCAGCAGCCCGACAUUCACCUGGACGGACAGUGCACUUUUCUUACGUCUGGGCAGGGAAGGCAGGGCGCACCAUCUACCGCAGGCUAGGAUGAUCACCAACCGCCCCACCGCACCCUGCGCCAGCCCUACGGCGCCCGCGGGCUGCAAGUAGCGGCGACCCAGGAGCAUGCGCGCUGCCGCCCCUGGCCUGCCAGGACCCAGAGGGAGCGGAGCACGCGCCUUUGGGAAUCUUCGGUGCGCCAAGUCUGUUCGCCGCCGGGGUCUAUCACCCCCGCCCCUCGCCUCUGCCCGUGAGCGUAGGAAACAGAGACUCUCAGACAUGAAUACUGUGACACUGACCACCAGGCCAACUUAACAUCAGCAGAUAUCCUGUCUCAGAUGAAGAGACAGUUAAUCAGAGACUUACUCCAACCCAGAAGUUUAUACCAAAAGACUUGAUUAGCGCAAUAAAAGCACUAAAUGAGGAGCUCGGAUUAAUUAUUGAUUUAACAUACACCACAAGAUAUUAUGAAGUUAAGAAUGGCCUGUCCAGAAGACAGCCAAAUACAUCCUUCAAACAGACUUCACUGCAGGAGACAGAGUGGAUUCAUCCUGUAUUCUCCAUGUAGACUUCCAUCUUCAUGAGUACUCCAAGAAGAUGGUUCAGUUGACUAUUGCAAAGGUAAAAAUCCAAGAGAUACAGAUACAGAAUAGGACAGAGAGACAUAUUUUUAAGCUAUUGAUUACAAUUAUGGUAUGCCUAUAGAUUGCAGAACCGAGGAGAAAGGGAACAUUAUGAUUUACCAUCAAGAAAAACUUAGAAUUGGUGCUGAGUAGUUCAUUCUAAGAAUUACCAUUUAUCUGUAUUUGCCCCCAUUUUCAUU
rnacentral:lncRNA from 1 species